rnacentral:tmRNA from 1 species
GGGGCUGAUUCUGGAUUCGACGGGAUUUGCGAAACCCAAGGUGCAUGCCGAGGGGCGGUUGGCCUCGUAAAAAGCCGCAAAAAAAUAGUCGCAAAAGACGAAAACUACGCUUUAGCAGCUUAAUAACCUGCUUAGAGCCCUCUCUCCCUAGCCUCCGCUCUUAGGACGGGGAUCAAGAGAGGUCAAACCCAAAAGAGAUCGCGUGGAUGCCCUGCCUGGGGUUGAAGCGUUAAAACGAAUCAGGCUAGUCUGGUAGUGGCGUGUCCGUCCGCAGGUGCCAGGCGAAUGUAAAGACAGACUAAGCAUGUAGUACCGAGGAUGUAGGAAUUUCGGACGCGGGUUCAACUCCCGCCAGCUCCACCA